UCGAGGAUCUUCGGCAAUGGGCGCAAGCCUGACCGAGCGACGCCGCGUGUGCGAUGAAGGCCUUCGGGUUGUAAAGCACUGUCGAGGGGGAGGAAGCCGCAAGGUUGACCUAUCCCUGGAGGAAGCACGGGCUAAGUUCGUGCCAGCAGCCGCGGUAAGACGAACCGUGCGAACGUUGUUCGGAAUCACUGGGCUUAAAGGGCGCGUAGGCGGGUGUGCAAGUCUGCGGUGAAAGCCUCCAGCUCAACUGGAGAAGUGCCGUGGAUACUGCUCACCUCGAGGAGGGUAGGGGCAUCUGGAACGUUGGGUGGAGCGGUGAAAUGCGUUGAUAUCCAACGGAACUCCGGUGGCGAAGGCGAGGUGCUGGACCCUUUCUGACGCUGAGGCGCGAAAGCCAGGGGAGCGAACGG
rnacentral:rRNA from 1 species